UUGGAGGGCAAGUCUGGUGCCAGCAGCCGCGGUAAUUCCAGCUCCAAUAGCGUAUAUUAAAGUUGUUGUGGUUAAAAAGCUCGUAGUUGAACCUUGGGCCUGGCUGGCCGGUCCGCCUCACCGCGUGCACUGGUCCGGCGGGCCUUUCCCUCUGCGGAACCCCAUGCCCUUCACUGGGUGUGGCGGGGAAACAGGACUUUACUUUGAAAAAAUUAGAGUGCUCAAGGCAGGCCUAUGCUCGAAUACAUUAGCAUGGAAUAAUAGAAUAGGA
rnacentral:rRNA from 1 species